rnacentral:rRNA from 1 species
UACGAAGGGGGCUAGCGUUGUUCGGAAUCACUGGGCGUAAAGGGCGCGUAGGCGGCCGAUCAAGUCGGGGGUGAAAGCCUGUGGCUCAACCACAGAAUUGCCUUCGAUACUGCAUGGCUUGAGACCGGAAGAGGUAAGUGGAACUGCGAGUGUAGAGGUGAAAUUCGUAGAUAUUCGCAAGAAUACCAGUGGCGAAGGCGGCUUACUGGUCCGGUUCUGACGCUGAGGCGCGAAAGCGUGGGGAGCAAACAGG